GAUAAUUUAUUAUAUAAAGUAUUUUUUUUUGUCAUGAAAAAGGUUAAAUUAUUU
rnacentral:tRNA from 3 species